CCAGACUCCUACGGGAGGCAGCAGUGGGGAAUAUUGCACAAUGGGGGAAACCCUGAUGCAGCGACAACGCGUGAGUGAAGAAGUCUUUCGGUAUGUAAAGCUCUGUCAGCAGGGAAGAAGAAAGACGGUACCUGACCAAGAAGCCCCGGCUAACUACGUGCCAGCAGCCGCGGUAAUACGUAGGGGGCAAGCGUUAUCCGGAAUCACUGGGUGUAAAGGGAGCGUAGACGGCUGUGCAAGCCUGGAGUGAAAGGCGGGGGCCCAACCCCCGGACUGCUCUGGGAAAUGCAAAGCUGGAGUGCAGGAGAGGUAAGUCGAAUUCCUGGUGUAGCGGUGAAAUGCGUAGAUAUCAGGAAGAACCCCCGUGGCGUCGGCGGCUUCCUGGGCUGUCGCUGGCGUUGUGGCUCGGAUGCGUGGGGGGCCCCCUAGAGGAGNUUCCCUGNUNGUCCCCNCCGUCCCCGACCCUCUUUAUGGAGUCGGGGGGCAGGAGCCCUUAGGUGCCGAAGCAGACGCAUUAAGUGAUCCGCCUGGGGAGUACGUCCGCAAGGAGGAAACUCAAAGGAAUUGACGGGGACCCGCACAAGCGGUGGAGCAUGUGGUUUAAUUCGAAGCAACGCGAAGAACCUUACCCGGCCUUGACAUCCCCCUGGCAGCAUAUGUAAUGUAUGUUCCCUUCGGGGCAAGAGGAAACAGGUGGUGCAUGGUUGUCGUCAGCUCGUGUCGUGAGAUGUUGGGUUAAGUCCCGCAACGAGCGCAACCCUUACCCACAGUAGCCAGCAUGGAAGAUGGGAACUCUGUGGGGACUGCCGGGGACAACCCGGAGGAAGGCGGGGAUGACGUCAAAUCAUCACCCCCCUUAUGGCCGGGGCUACACACGUGCUACAAUGGCGUAAACAAAGGGAAGCGAGAGAGUGAUCUUAAGCAAAACUCAAAAAUAACGUCCCAGUUCGGAUUGUAGUCUGCAACCCGACUACAUGAAGCUGGAAUCGCUAGUAAUCGCGGAUCAGAAUGCCGCGGUGAAUACGUUCCCGGGUCUUGUACACACCGCCCGUCA
rnacentral:rRNA from 1 species